rnacentral:rRNA from 1 species
AUGGUGUCUCCUAAUGCUACUGGCUCCGGCGGCGGCGACUUGCCCAUCCGCGUCCUGAGACGCGGCCUUGUCAAGGCUUCCGACCCGUCUUUCGAACCGCACGUCGCCUCCUUCUCGAACCUGGACCUCUACGCUGGCGAGGGGCAAGCCUCCAUAGUAUGCCUCUACCCCAAGCUCCCAAAUGCCGGCGACUUCCAGGCGGUGGUCGCCGCCUUCGAGUCCGUCCUGCCGUCCGUGCUCAACGUCUUCUACCACUACGCCGGGCGCAUCCGCAGCAACCCAAGCUCAGGCCUCCCGGAGCUGCUCUGCGACAACCAAGGUGCCGAGCUCGUCGUCGGAGAGGUCCAGGCCACUAUGGCUAGCCUGGACUACGGCCUGGCGGAGCAGUCCCUGAAGAAGAUCAUGCUGCCGUACGCCGAGGACGUGACGCUCUCGGUGCAGCUGCUGUCCUUCGCCUGUGGCGGCUUCUCGGUCGUGUGGGGGAACAACGACAUCGUCCACGACGGCCACGCCAUCACCAUGUUCCUCAGGAUGUGGUCCCAGCUCGCCCGAACCGGGAGCUUCAUUGACGACGGACCGCCCAACCAUGACCGCUCCGUGUUCCGCCCUCGCAGCCCGCCGUCGUACAGGGCCUCCAUCAGCGACAAGUUCGCGAUGUACGACCACCACCAGAUGGUCAACGGGCUGACGGCCCACGACAGCUUCGUCGAGCGCCUCUACUACGUGGAGGCGAGCGACAUCGCCAGCCUGCGCGAGAUGGCAAGCACCAAGCUCCAGCGCUCGUCCCGCGUCCAGGCAGUGUCCGCGUACCUCUGGAAGGCCCUCGCCGGCGUGGUGGCCGCGUCCCGCGUGCACGAGGAGCGCUGCUGCAUGGGGUGGAUGGUGGACGCGCGGCGGCGUGUCAGGGCGCCGGAGCUCGUCCCGGCGAUGCGCAACUACUUCGGCAACGUGGCCAUGUACGCUAUCGCGGACGCAACCGUGGAGGAGAUCCGGAACAAGGAGCUGGCGGAGGUGGCGGCCAUGGUGCGCGAGGCCAUCACGUCCAUAGACUACGACGAGUACAUCCAGGAGCUGGUGGACUGGGUGGAGGAGCACAAGACGGAGAGGAGGAUUGAGAAGGGCAUCCUUGGGCUGGGCACGCCUACGUUGAACCAGACGGUGUUCGCCUCCUUCCCGCUCGACACAGACUUCGGCUUCGGCGAUGCCGUGCUGGCCAUGCCCAUGUGGGACUUUGAGAGGCUCAGCUCGGGCUACCUGUCGGUCGGAGCUCGGCCGGGAGGCGACGGCUCCUGGCUUGUCAACGCCUACAUAUGGCCGCGCCUCGCGGCGGCCCUCGAGUCCGACCAGCAGCACAUCUUCAAGCCUCUGACGGCCGAGUACCUAGGGCUCGCCUAG